rnacentral:tRNA from 1 species
GCCCGAGUAGCUCAGGGGUAGAGCGCUUCCUUGGUAAGGAAGAGGGCAUGGGUUCAAAUCCCAUCUCGGGCUCCA